rnacentral:misc_RNA from 1 species
UAAAUUAGCAUAACACAAUUGUUAUGCAAGGUCAAGUUUAUCAUAACACUGAAAACCAGAACUUCAUAAGGCGUUCUGAGAAACUACACAGAGUUUUAUACUUACAAAACGAUUAAAGGAUUCAAGUCAUUACAGUUAAGCCAGUAUCCGUGGACAACAGUACUAAGGUGCAUUCACAUUGGAGAGGACCUGUAGCAUUGGUAACUAAUAGCUUCCGCUCUGCUACCAAGCAUCUGGAUCAACAAUAUACAUGGAUUUUAACUUUGACCAUCAAGGUUACCCUGUCCAUUGCUGCCUCCACCAGCAUAAGAAUUAUCCUCAGCAGCCUGCCAAACGGACUGCCACGCCUGCGACGGUGGUGGGGGAGGCUGAACGUACAUUGAAGGAUCAACCCCAGGCAUAGCAGGCCUUCCCAUCAUCACCCCAGGUGGAGCAGGCUGUCCCAUUGGUGGAUAAUAGUACGGAACACCACUUGCUGUGGAACCCACAAUUCCGGGCCCCAGACCAGCACCCUCUUCCUUGAUCUCAUCCCUGGGAACAAUGUCAACAAGGAAAUCAAAAAUAUCAGUCCGCGUAAUGGCCGCAGCGAUGUCAUUCUUCUGCAGAG